GCCGCUGGCCUGUGCUGGAGCCCCCCUGGCCUGACCGCUCGCUCGGUCCCGUCCCGCAGCGGCGCUCAGGCCUCACCACUAGCUGAGCUGGCGCUAGCACAUCCUGUUUUGACCACACCCUAAAGAUUUGAGAAGUGUUUCUCCAUCCUAAGAGUUUCUCUGCAAAAGUUAGUGUCCUUCCAGAUGCGGAAUCAAACUUCCGCUCCAAAUGUCUUGUGUCGAGUGUCUGCAAAGCACGGUACCAGGAGCUUUGGCCGAGAGACCAUGGGAUACACUGCGUAAGGAGCAAAGGCUUUCAGUGAGACCUGAGAUCUGCCUCUACUUUCCGUGUGACCCUGGCUAUCCUUUCUGAUCCUCAGUUUAGUUCUCCAAACGGUAAUGGCUAACUGCGUGUUGAUGAGCAAAUGAGCCACGUAUGUAAGCCAUCUGGUACAGUUCAGGCAUAUGACAGUCUCUCAAAUGUUAAUUUCCAUCUCUUUCCCCUUAGUCUUCACAGAAGUCGGCAAGUGCUUACUGAGCCCCUACUGUGUGUUUAGUUCAGUGGGAGAUGAAGAGGGAUGGCAGAGUUAUUUUUCUGUUUUACGGCUUAGGCAUAGAACGUAAAGGUUAUGUCCACUGCCCAAAACUCACUUAUUCUAUUCUCCAUUUUCUGCACGGGUUUGGGGGUCAGUACAGCAAGUUAGACGUGCAUUUUCACGGGCUUCCACUUACAGGAGAAGGCAAGCAGGUAAUAUAGAGAGCUAGUCUUUUUCCCUCUUGCCUUCAGAAGGGUUAGUGAAUGUUAGCUACCAUUGAGUUAGUGACCAAGGGGAAAUUCUUCCUCUCUAUAGCUAAUGCAGCAGGAUCCCUUACACCCUGACUUUCACCUCCUUCUUUGUGGUAGGGCAUCUAUAUCUGAGCCAUAUCCUCUAAAUGCUCUUCAGAAAUAAGAGUGAGGCCCCCUUUAUUUUUUUGUCUUGUACUGAGGACAGCUUGCUAUGACUUGGGUUUUCCAUAGCAGACCCAGGUCUUUUUCUACCUAGUAUUUAGUCAUCCUAAUGGAACUUUAACUUAAUUCUAGCUAAAAAUAGUUUUUCAGACUCCUAUACAUCUAGGGGUAGCCUGUUUGACCCAGUUCCAGACAAUAAGACAAAAGUUGAAGUUGCUACUGGCCCUUUCAAGAAAGGACAGCCACAUGUUCUGCAGGCCAGAGCUCAUCCUGUCGUACACCUGUUGUUCUUGCUUGAGGAAUAUGCCAGAGGUGCAGCAGCCAUAGUUCAGUCAUGAAGCAACAAACAGAACAGAGGCCUGCAUUCCAAGGCUGGCAGAGCAGAACAAUUGAAAGAGGCUAGAUCCUUUAUGGCAUCAUUUUGCGACCAUGUCUCUUCAUGGCAUUGCUUGAGUGUCCUCACAACAUGGCAGCAGGAUUCCCCCAGAAUGAGAGGUCCAAGAGACAAAGGCAGAAGCAGGAAUGCCUUUCAUCUUGGACAUCACACCUUGUCACCUCCAUGGUGCUCUCUUGGUCACAGAAACCAGCCCUGAGUCAGCGUGGGAGGAGAGUACAUACAAGCAUGAAUACCAGGAGGGAUAAAGUCUGCUUAAAAUGGCCAUUGAGAGCAGGCUUGAUCCACAGAAUCAAGGUUACAGCAGUAGAGCACAGAGGAAAGCAGCAGAAGGCAGAGGUGUUCCAGGAGAACUGCACUCCCGGCCAAAGGGGAGGCUCGUCGCAGAGCGGCAGGUCAGAAGACUGGUGUGGAUACAGGUCUGUUCUCAGGUAACCAGGCUGACCUGCUCUGCAGACAGGUGGGAAAAGAGCCGUAUGGGCUGAUUCUCCCCCAGGAGUAGGCUGGACGACUCAGAGAUUUUAGAACCGGAAGGGCACAGAAGUCUCUCAUUUCAACUCCUGGCUCUUACAGAAUAAGGAACCGAAACACAAAGAAGUGAAAUGAUGGGCUCCACAGCCAAAGGACCUCAAGCCUAUUUUCUGUCAUUUUUUUUGUUUUGGGGGGCAUGGUACGGAGGUGUCGGGGAGACAGCUUAGGACCAACGCCUCCUCUUCCUGCAGGCAUUGGGACUGCUGCUGAGUCACGGAGCAGCCAAACAGAGGUCUAACGAGACACGGGGAAGUCUAGAAGCACUUGUUCCAAUAGGACCUGUUUCAUAAACAAUGCUUGGCACCUGGCGUGUCUUAUGAAGGAAUUCACCCAAGAAGAUCUUUUCCUUAGAAACUCUUCUAGCCUGCAGAGUCUGGUUUUAGUUGCCUUUGGCAAAAUUUCAGAACCUUCAGUGCACUCCAGGAGCUGAGCUGGAUACAAAGAUGCACCAGAUACAAUAAAGAGUAAGCCUUGUAAUUCUAGGAGUCCUAACUCUCACGGGGGUGGGAAGUGAAUCAACGGAUUAUGAUACAACGGGAUAAAUAUAAUAAUGUCUGUGGCACAGAAGAGGGAGAGAGUAACGCUGGAGGGUGGGGAGCUUGGGAAAGUGGACUGAGAAGGCCUCACAAAAGUGACAUGAUGGAAGAUGAAGAAGGAAUGAUAGGAGCACCUCAGACCUCCGAGUCCAACUCUAAAAUAACAGCAUUCAACCAGACUUCCCUGAAACACCACUAUUAUCCCUCAAGGAUUGACAGAGCAGCUGUUCUUGCCCCAUCUACUUCUCAUUAUGUAAUGGAAACCGCGCAUACGUGUAACAUGUUUAAAAGUAAAGGAUGGAUAAAAUCAGCCCACAGGCCCCAUCAGCCAGGAUCAGCAGGGCCUGUCUCUUCAGAGACAGUGCACCAAAAAGUGAAUGAGGCUCCUCACAUAUAAUUUAAUAUCACAACUACGUGCUUCUAAGGAAGCCCUGCACAGUUCUGUCUUUACCCACAAUAACACCUUUCGAAUGUUUUUGAAAAAUCAGAGAGCCAACCGAGACUCAGAUGAUGCUUUUCUCCUUAUUGUUGUGCUCCUGCUUUGCCUACGCCCCAAGCACGUGUGUGGCCUGUCGUGGGUGAUCCUGCUCUGACAAGGCAGCCCCUUUCCACUCCAAGACACCCCAGACGAGGUUGGCCUCGACAAGUUCAUGUUCCUGUUCUUAAGCAAAUGGACGGAGAGCUGGGCUUUCACUUCCCCACACAGCCCGUGCAUUAUGACUUUGUGCUUUACCCCUUCUGUCAAUAACCUUGCAACUCAGGAAAGCCACCUGCAGCCUUGUGGUCUGGCUAGACGUGGAGAAAGGCUGACAUAAGAAACUGUUUCCUUAGAUGAGCUCGGCAGCUGGUGGUCAGAGGAAGACCGUAUGACAGUGAAGCAUUUGUGAGCGCAGGCAGGCAUCUGAAACAGGUCUGAGUGUAGCACUUGCUCUUUCACUUCACCAUGGGAUCUUGGGCCAGUGAUUUCACCCUGGUGAGCCCAAGUUUUAUCUUCUAUAAAUGUGCUUCAUAAGAGCACCUACCUUGUGAGGUCAUUCUUUCAACACAUACUUCAAAUGUCCCUAAUGUGUGCCAGGCACCGUUCUUGAAGAAAGAAAUACAAUGGUGAACAAACAAAAAUCCCAGCCCUAGAGCUUACCUUCUAGAGUAAGAAGAUAGACAACAAAAAUAAAAAGAAUCUUUAUCGUGUUAGAAAGGAAAGGGGCUAGGGAGCGUUGGGAGAGAUGCCAUUUUAGGUGGAAUGACCAGAAGGGCCUGAGCGAGCUGGUGACUUGGUAGAUGCAAGCUAAGCAGCAAGAGGACAUUCGGGGGCCCUCCUUCCAGGCAGAAGGAACAGCCUGAGCGGAGGCCCUGAGGCAGAAGCAAGUCUAGUAGGUCUGAAGCACAGUGAGUGAAUCUGGCUGAAACCGACUAAGGGUGGGAAGAGACAGGAGGGAAAUGAGGUCAGAGCUCAGGAGGGCAAAGGAGUGGCAGGCUCUGACUUGCAUUCAAAUAGCAUCACUCCUGGGAAACCGGUUGAGAAGCUACUGUAGUGAUCCAGGUGAGAGAGAAAGCACACCACGUCCUAACCUGGGCGCCUGUCACGAACCGGCUCUGGAUAAGAGUGCCCACUGACCUGAAGCUGCGCAUGCGUAGCUGGUGAGGGAAGACCUCCGCUUUGUUCUCCUUUCUGCCCCUCUCUCAGCCAUCCAUCUACUGGCCGCGUCAUCGUCUUCCUCAAUCACCCUGCUUGUCAUCUUCUUCCUCUUUUCUUCUCUCUCUGCUUCCUCUUCACUCUGCCCUUACUUUCUCACGAAUGGUCUGUCCCCCAGGGCCGAGUUUUGGGGGGGUGGUUUUGCAUCUUGGGGAGAGAGCGGUGCACUUCCUGGCCUGUCAGUUCCACAGGGCGCAUCAGUGGGACCAGACAUGGGGUGACAGGCACAGAAGGUGCCCAGAGAGGUGGCUCUGCCAUGCAGGUUGUACUGAGGCCGCAGGCAGAGUUUUGUAGCCUGGUCAGCAUUCAGCCACGAAAAGAGAAGCCCUUCUCCGUGUUUUAGGCAAUUCCGAAAAGGACGCUGAUGCAGGGAGUUAGAGGCUGACAACCGGAGCUAGACCAGGAGAGCAGAGAUCAAAAGGCCACUCUCGGGGGAAUCAAGAAGUAUAGGGAUUGUAGGGAAACCAUCACAAAUAACCCCAAAGCCUUCAACACCAAAGCAAGUGCUUCUCAGAAGGAACCUCACUGAUACCAGCCACCACUUUAGUGUCUCAAUACCAGGUAAAUGGUCACAGUAGGCAAUAGGGGGAUUCCCAGAAGGCAUUCUGACAGCAGGACCACCAGCCGUGACAUAACUAAGCAUCGUGACCCAACUAGACACGACGUAACAUAGAAAUGUCUGCAAAUCACAGGAAUAUAUGCCACUAAAGCCAAAUUCAUCACGUCCCUGGCUCAACUUUCCCUCAUCCGGAGGUUAAGAUACCCAGGGCCACUCUCAUCCCCCUGACAAGGUGACAGAAGUGAAGUCAGAGUGGAGAGACGCAGGACCUUAACUAACUGUGAUUUAAAAUAUCUUACUUUUGCUAAUUUUACAAAAACAUCUGGCCCUGUGCAUACGCACAUUGCUCGGACCCCUCCCAGGGCCCUUGAGGGUGUGCUAUGAGUGAGGGCUCCUGAAGCUUUAGCUUCUCAUGGAAAAUCUGUCUCUGCCUGGAACCGAAGCAAUUUACCUUCACUGGCCAGAGAGCUGAUUCCAUCAUAGGAAGGAGCUUUGGGCCAGUGUGAAGUUUCCUUGGGAAUUGUUUGCAGUGGUGAUGUUUUUUACUCAGCUUGGAAACUGCUAGUAGCACUACUAGAUGAUUUAUUAAAUUGAUACAAAUCUGAAUUAGUAGAAAAUGAGCCACGCUAAAAGCGUGUAGCCUUUACUCUCAGACUUCUGAAUCACUCCACUUUAAGUCAAUAGGACCCAAACUUGUCUAUUCAACAAAAAAUUAUUGAGGGCAUACCCCAUGCGGGUACAACCGUGAACUCUGAUUGUAAGGGGCCUUCAGGGGAGGAGACCAAUAAUCAAAUAAUCAGUCAAGUCAAGGACUAGAGGGCGUUCCACUGAGAAUAUGGACAAGUGAUCCUAAUCUAGGGUUCUAACAGGAAAGACUGAAGGAUUCAUUCUUUCAACAAUUUUGGGGGCUGCCUACUCUAUAUCCACACAAUGCUAAGGGCCAGGAUAAGGGUGAGCAAAAAAGCUGUGGUAUCCCUGCCUUUCUAGAACCGUCCCCUGAAUGAAACAUUAUCACAGAAUCAAAUUGCAUCUAUCCUUACUGACAACCCAGCGAUGGCCUCUCUGAAGGAGCGCGGCAGGUGCGCCAGUGAGCAUACUUGAAGAGGGUUGGUGCCCCAGGACAGACUUUCAGGAGAGGCCACAGUGUGCUGAGAACCAGAGGCAAAUUAACCCAUGAGUGAGGAGGUGGCAGGGCUUGUGGGAGUCUCCUAGGCAAAAGGAGCUGCAGGAAA